GGCAAUGGUCCAGCGGUUAGAACGCUGGCCUUGUAAUCCUGGGGUCUCGGGUUCGAUUCCCGGCGGUGCCC
rnacentral:tRNA from 1 species